GAACAGAUUGUUAUCACCUUGUUACAAGGUUGCUGACGGACUUGACGGUAACAACUUGCUCCACGUUGUUCCAACAAGACUAAUACAGGCUGUUCGUAACAAAUUGCUACGAGCUUGUUGUCAUCAACUUGUUAACAACUUGUUACGUGCAGACGCUAUCAGACUUGUUGGAACAACUUGUUGCGAGUUUGUCGUAUUCAUCAACCUUGUUACAAGAUGAUAACAACUUUUUC